ensembl:lncRNA
CCGACCCGCCCCCGCCGGCCCUGCUCCCGCCCCCGAGACGCUCGGGCUGCUGAGCUCCGGGGACCCUGCUCCGGGGUGUCCCGCCACCGCCACCGCCGGCGCUCCCGGCACUGAGAGUCCGACUGCGACCGUCGAAGAGGUGAGCGCAAGGCAUGUGCCAGGAACGCGGAUCCCAGCGGGAAGCGCCACGGCGGAAAUUCGGGGCGGCAUCUGGCCGCUGGGGGACGAAUGGGACUCUGCGGGCCAGCAGGUCGUCGGCAGGAUGGCACCUCCCGGAGCCAGAGUAACCUCCCAGAGGCUGCGCUCCUUGGGGUAACGGUGGCACUGUCUAGUGACUGGGCCCUGUGCUGCUCAGAGCUCCAAGAAGACGCUAGCUAGCCUUUGACUGCGACCCAGACGGGUACUGACAGAAAGACUGCAGGUGCUCCGUAUUCCACCUGGAAACCCCCAAACUCGGCCACCUCCCUCGAUACUUGGCAGAAUCUGCUCCAGGCGGGAAUCAAGGCAAGACCUGGAUCAUACAGCGCGCGGCAGGUGCUAUGCAGUGUUCUUCGAUCCAGCGGAAGGCGGGGGGUCUGCUCCUGGACCUCUGUCCCGGGGCCCUGAAGGACACAGCUGUGCGCAGCCGGGCUCCGAGGUUUUGCACAUGUUUUCUAUUGAAAGUCGUAGCGCGCUGCUCAGUGUGGCCUCGGCCCUGUGCGGCUUCACUCGCCUCUGGGGCAAAGGGGCAUUUUCUUGAUUGACGCCCCCCUGCGGUGACCACACCUUGAGUUGGGCAAUUUCUGCUAAGGUUUUCUAUUAAUAGAAAAACUCCCUGACUUUUUUCUAUUGAGAUUUUAAAUUUCACCGUUUAGAAUUACCUCUUCAGCUGAUCCAAGCUAAAGAGGAGAAAACUGGGUAGCCGGAGGACCUGGGUUCGAGUUUCACUGCACACAUUUUUCUUGAGCUACUACUGUGUGUAAUUAGCAAACGAGAGAGGUAGCCCCUGUCCUCAUGGAAGCAGGAAGCAAAUUGAACCCAGUAACAUGUUUGCUAGGGAGAAAUCGUGCCUAAUGGUCAGAAACUUUAGGGGACAGCCCCUAGUUUGGUGAAAAGGAGAGAGUCAAUUUGAGAAAGGGAAGGGAAAGUCUUCCCAAAGGAAAUGAUGUUUGAAAGAUAAGUAGGUGUCAACAAGCCUAGGGUGUGAGUGAGUCCAAGUCAGAACAGCAUGUGAAUAGGUUACCUAACACAGCCUCCGUCAGUUUAUUGCUACAGGCUUUUCUCGUCUGAAACGUUUGGAACUUGCCAUAAAGCUUCCUGACUGCUUGGGGAUGGAAUCACUGACAGCUUUCAGAAUAAUGACAGACACAAGCUACAGCACAGACAAACCAGUGACUCUAUACCUACCCUUCUUAUCACCUGGCCUGAUGGAGACUUCGUGUUUUAGAUUCCAGAAAGACACAGACUCUGAGGACCAAGUAAGGACAGUUGUUGCAAUGAGGAAAUGAUGUCAUCUGGAAACCUCAUGUGUGCAACCUGGAGUUUCAGCAAGGGUUACAUCAGACGUGAUAUCUCAACAGAUAAUCUGAGUCUGAGGCUGGACAGCCAGACUCCUAGGCAACAGACAGCACUGGAGAAGGUAGCAGAAAUGAUGGGCCAGGACUCUUGCUCUCUGAAUCGUGGACGCUUCUGAUGAGCACGCCAACCUGC